rnacentral:rRNA from 1 species
CUACGGGAGGCUCCAGUGAGGAAUAUUGCACAAUGGGGGGAACCCUGAUGCAGCAACGCCGCGUGGAGGAUGACGCAUUUCGGUGUGUAAACUCCUUUUAUAUGUCAAGAAAAUGACGGUAGCAUAUGAAUAAGCACCGGCUAACUCCGUGCCAGCAGCCGCGGUAAUACGGAGGGUGCAAGCGUUACUCGGGAAUCACUGGGCGUAAAGGGCGCGUAGGCGGGUUGGAAAGUCAGGUGUGAAAUCCUACAGCUUAACUGUAGAACUGCACUUGAAACUUCUAAUCUAGAGUAUGGGAGGGGGAGAUGGAAUUAGUGGUGUAGGGGUAAAAUCCGUAGAUAUCACUAGGAAUACCUAAAGCGAAGGCGAUCUCCUGGAACAUUACUGACGCUAAGGCGUGAAAGCGUGGGGAGCAAACAGGAUUAGAUACCCGCGUAGUC